GAGAAAGAGAGUAAGAAAGAAAGAAAGAAAGAAAGAAAGAAAGAAAGAAAGAAGAAAAGAAAGAAAGAAAAAUAACUAAGACAUAUCGGUUAAGUUUUAUCGGCUAAGGAAGUGACUAUGAAAGAUAUAGAAAGCUGAGUAUGCGCAAGAAGUAGGGAAAUCCAGUAAAGUUCAUUGAGUAUGACGAUGGUAAUAAGGGUGAAGGUUGAUUUUAAAAAGCAGAGAGCGAGAGAGAGAGAGAGAGAGAGAUGUAUAGCUGUAUAUAAAGGAAGAGUGGUGGUUGCAUGCUGCUGAACGAGCCGCCUAGUCUGCAACCCUCACUACUUGGCAGCUCGUUUUUCACACCGCCCGCACGCACCGGAAGGUGGUGGCCCACUGUUUUCGAGGACCAUUUAUUGAUCGCAUCAGCGCCUGCGUUUCUUCGUUGCUCCACUACCUUCGAAAAUUUCACCUCCUCCCGCACGUUUUCGUAUAGCCACCGAGGCUGCUUGUCGAACCAGAUUCACUUCCGGUUUUCCUUUUGGGGUUGUUGGUCCUCCAAGAUGAUGUUUAAUACCGACCGAUACUCUACGGUUACCGACCUUACUUCUUCACUCUUUUGGCGAACGGAAGUGGAGAAUGUAUCAAGGACGAUUGAUAAGAUAGAUUCCUAUGAUAGGAAGGGAAUUGGUAAAGUAAUUAAAACUUAUUUUAAUUCUUUAUAUGGUACAAGUUCUUCUUUUUUGUAUUAAAAAAAUAUAAAUUAUAUAUACUUGUUAUAGUACAGUAUAUAUUGUACAAUAUAGUUAUAGUUUAGUUUUAGUUUAUUAUGGUAUAAAUAACUAAAGUAUACACUAAAGUAUACACUAAUAAAGUGUAAACUAAAGUAUAUACUAUAUUAGGUAUAACUUACGUUUAAUAUAAUAAUGAUAUUAAUGAUAAUAUAAAUUAUUCAUUUAUACUUGGUACAAAUAGUAUAGCAUAUAUAGUACGUGUGGUACAAUAAUCCAAGUUAUAAUUAGUAUACCGACAUAUACUAUCUCUGCUGUAGAUUAAGUAUAUAAUGUAUAAUUUGUAUUUAGAAAAAAGAAACAUUUAUCAAACACUAACAUGUUAAGCAACAAUUGAUUUUGUUGCCAAAGAAAAAAUGUAAUAAAACCUAAAAAAAAAUAUAGACAUAUAUGAACGUGUGA